CGUAGGGUGCAAGCGUUGUCCGGAAUUAUUGGGCGUAAAGGGCUCGUAGGCGGUUUGUCACGUCGGGAGUGAAAACUCGGGGCUUAACCCCGAGCCUGCUUCCGAUACGGGCUGACUAGAGGUAUGCAGGGGGAGAACGGAAUUCCUGGUGUAGCGGUGAAAUGCGCAGAUAUCAGGAGGAACACCGGUGGCGAAGGCGGUUCUCUGGUCAUUACCUGACGCUGAGGAGCGAAAGUGUGGGGAGCGAACAGGAUUAGAUACCCUGGUAGUCCACACCGUAAACGUUGGGCGCUAGGUGUGGGACUCAUUCCACGAGUUCCGUGCCGCAGCUAACGCAUUAAGCGCCCCGCCUGGGGAGUACGGCCGCAAGGCUA
rnacentral:rRNA from 1 species